AAACUGUUUCUUGUCCAAGACAAGUCAUAGACUCACCUUUGAUUCCACUUGACUCUGUUCGGUUCAAGAAAGGGGUGCUUGCAGUCAGAGUGGACCACCACACAACUCCCGCAACUCAGUAUGCCUUGAACUGCUCAGAGAAUGGCAGUUGAGCUUGUCUUCUUCACUCCUGGAUGUGUACUCAUUCCAAAGGCUUUCAACAAAAACAGAUGUUUAGGAGAAAAGUAUGUGAAAAGAAAAGUUGAUUCCAGAUAUGUGGUUUUCCUGAUCAUCAGAAGAUUAUGCACCAGAAAAAUUAAGCAACAACUUUGUACUUAAUAUUGGGCAAACAAGUAGGAAGGAUUUUCUAGUCCUAUUGAAGAGCUGAUGUAAUUUCAGUACUGGGAUAAAUAUAACUAAGUAUUUUUUUCCUUUAUAUAUAUUUUCUCAAGAAUGUUCAUUAUUCUCUGAGCUCUUAUCUGGACUCUGCAUU
rnacentral:lncRNA from 1 species